AGGAGCCGUCCAUGCACCUCACUCUAUGGAAAAUCCUGCAUGUCACUCUGGAUGUCUUUGCUUCUAUUUGGUGACCAAGACAGCUGUUGUCACACCUGUUCUCUGGUGCUUCAGUCUAGGACACUCUUACAGACUGAUACCGGGGAGACAAACACACUGCACUCUCUUCCUGGGGAAUCUGCUCCAUCAGAAGCACAGCCUGCUGCACUUUAGUGGCAAUAAAACAAAGAAAAUCAUAGCAAGACUACAGCUUCUGCCUUGUUAGGGCUGUGAUAAGAUAAAAUAUUUUAGGGUCCAGACACGAGAGGACUCCAACCUAAAGGGAGAAGCCUGGGGUCCCAUGCCUAAUCGAGAAGGCUACCCCAUUGUUGAACUCUUUGCACAUACCCUGAAAGCAUGGACUUGAAUGUGGGACCUGGCUGGAGGGCUGAGUCACUGAAGGGACAGAUCAUUGCAGGGAAAGGGGAGCACCUGGAAAGAAAAGAGCCUGAUGUACUUCCUGACCAUGAGGUGGUGCCGGGAUUAUAUACUUUAUGCAAAGAAAUCCAUAAUAGAGAUCCAGCAGAUCCAGCUCUUACUUGAUAUGACAGAUCUUUUAAUGUGAAAAGAGAAAAGUAAAGGUUGUCAAUAAACGUUUAAGAAACUAUGCAGACAUCUGAAAGCUCUAA